GUCCUACGGGGGGCAGCAGUGAGGAAUAUUGGUCAAUGGCCGGAAGGCUGAACCAGCCAAGCCGCGUGAAGGACGAAGGUGCCAAGCAUUGUAAACUUCUUUUGUCAAGGGACAAAAUCAGGCUCGAGAGCCUGACCGAGGGUACUUGAAGAAAAAGCAUCGGCUAACUACGUGCCAGCAGCCGCGGUAAUACGUAGGUGGCAAGCGUUAUCCGGAUUUACUGGGUGUAAAGGGCGUGUAGGCGGGAAAGCAAGUCAGAUGUGAAAACCACGGGCUCAACCUGUGGCCUGCAUUUGAAACUGUUU
rnacentral:rRNA from 1 species